rnacentral:lncRNA from 1 species
AAGCUGCAAACAGAAAGUAUGCAAGGGGUGUUCUAGAACCAGUAUUACAACCAGAUUUUUAUUGGUGAUAAACAUGUUAUAUAGAAUGGCAAGUAGCAACUAUUACUGGAAAUUUUUUUCUCUAUGUCAAGAAAGUUCUUCAAAUAGACUAAGUUCUAUUCUUAACAAUUGGAUGUAAGUCAAAACUACAUCAGCAAUAAAAUCAGUAUUCAAGAAAUCAAAACCAUUCAUCCCUAGAUUAGUACAGCAAUCUUUUCACUUUUAAUUGGGAAAACUUAUGGUGGAAACAUAUUCCCUGUUGGAAUAUUACGUCUAUUGAAUGAACCGCAGCCAGCUAAGAUGCUCGUCAUAUCAAGGUUCUCAACAUAAACCUUUUAAAUUAACAAACUUUUGCACAUUAGGGAAGCAAGGGCCAUCAAGUGUUAAUGACGCACAUGUAGUACAAGCUAAAACAGUAUAUCAAAACAAAUAUAAUGGUAAAACCUGAUCUAAGGAGUCGAAGUUAUCUGCGAUUGAUGUGGAUGGCUGCUUAGGUCGAUAGACAUCGUCUGCAGAAUUCCCUACAUAAGAUUGGGAUGGCUGGUUAGGUUGAUAGCCAUAGCCACGGUCCAUAGAACUGCCUGAAUAAGAAUAAGGUUGAUGCAUAAAAUCAUCAUGAAGAUCAUCAUGUGUUGAUUCACUAUUCCCCAUAACCAAGAGCUUUGUACCUAUAUUGGCAAAAAUUUUGUACCAUUAUGAAGUUUAGUAUCUGACUAAUUUGGAAUCAUAAGGAUAGUUCAAGAAAAUACCUAACAACAACGGAAUUUCUAGAGUAGAUAAAUCAUCAAUUUGAUACAAACAAUCUAUUCCAUUUAAUUUAGCACAUUUAUCUGCAAAAGGGUAUGUCCUGAACUUCGUGGCAUGUUCUUUUCAUUUUUCACCGGACUGCUUUGAUAGUUUACGCAAUUUUUUCCCAAGAAUGUUCAGAGCCAGAACCUCAACCAGAUUCCUAGAUGAUAAACAGAAAUGCCUAAAAUACUCAAGGCAGUAAGGUAUUUCUUCACACCUGAUCAGAGAAGCUAAAAUAGCGUUACGAGGAAAUAGUUCUCUGUCCUAUGCAAUUCUUCAAGUAAAAUGAUCAAAGGCUUAAUUCUUUGUGUACGUUUUUCAUACUUUAUUGGCACUAAAUACAUCAUGGAAUUCAAUUCUAAACAGGUCAAAUAAACUCUAGUUCCUUUUCGCUGCAGCUGUCUCUUAAUCCAUCUAAUCACCACCGCAACUAGAAAAACAAAGAAGCAACCAAAUUAUAGAAAUAAGAGAAAUAACAGAAAGAAAGAAAUUUGGAAUAAUGGAGUUGCAGAGAUAAAAUACAGUUCCAGGGGAAGGAGAUACCCUGAUAAACAGAGCAAAAUAGGCAUAAGAGUUGUGAAAAUUUCACAAGUAAAUACUCAUAAUAACAAAAAUUAAAGACAGAAAUGGAGGAAGAAAGAGAGAGAGAGAGAGAGAAGAAAAACACUCGCCUGUAACUGAGCCGAGAACAGGGAAAAGAUUCAAAGGGAUUCUGCACUAUCUACGGCUUUUGUUCUUCUCAAAAGAAAGUUUACAUGCUUUCUCUCAUGGUUUUGCAGAAAGAAAAAAGAAAAGAAAAAAAAAAUGAAGAGGUUGCUUAUGAGUGUAAGUAUUAUUUCAUUAUUAUUAUUGGAGAGAAUCCAGAACC